GUACUCGCUUCGGCGGUACAUAUACUAAAAUUGAAACGAGAUAGAGAAAAUUAGCAUGGCCCCUGCGCAAGGAUGACACCCAAAAUCGUGAAGAUGCCGGCACGGUA